rnacentral:lncRNA from 1 species
AGACCCAACAUGUCACAAGUUGUGAUGCUCAACAGCAACUCUGUUUCUCUCCAAGCUCCUUACCAGACCAGCAUUUUGCAUUGGAAAGAGUAGCAUGGGCUCAUAUGCUUCAGGCAAGGCAAUACUGAUGUCACCAAAUGAGCUGUCAAUUUCAAAACUUGAACCUAGGUAGAUAUAAGAAGCUAAGAAGAAGAAGGUUGAUGAAUAUCUUGAAUAAUUAUUCUUCUUCGAGAAAACUUUAGACUUUAUAUUAUGGAUGUUACACUUGUAUUUUUGCUCAACCCUCAGAAAUGUUAGAAGAACAAUGUGUAUGCCUGAUGUCUACCCAUUCUUAUAAGAAAAUCUAUUGCUUGAUUUCUUUUGCUAUGUUUACUUACAAAGGACUAUGAUCCAAUCAUCGUCCCAGCAAUCCAGGGCCUUGGGAUGAG